GCAUAUCAAUAAGCGGAGGAAAAGAAACCAACAGGGAUUGCCCCAGUAACGGCGAGUGAAGCGGCAACAGCUCAAAUUUGAAAUCUGGUCCCCAGGGCCCGAGUUGUAAUUUGUAGAGGAUGCUUUUGGCGAGGCGCCUUCCGAGUUCCCUGGAACGGGACGCCACAGAGGGUGAGAGCCCCGUCUGGUCGGAUGCCAAGCCUAUGUAAAGCUCCUUCGACGAGUCGAGUAGUUUGGGAAUGCUGCUCAAAAUGGGAGGUAUAUGUCUUCUAAAGCUAAAUACCGGCCAGAGACCGAUAGCGCACAAGUAGAGUGAUCGAAAGAUGAAAAGCACUUUGAAAAGAGGGUUAAAAAGUACGUGAAAUUGUUGAAAGGGAAGCGCCUAUGACCAGACUUGGGCCCGGUGAAUCAUCCAGCGUUCUCGCUGGUGCACUUUGCCGGGCACAGGCCAGCAUCAGUUUGGCGCGGGGGACAAAGGCUUCGGGAAUGUGGCUCCCCUCGGGGAGUGUUAUAGCCCGUUGCGCAAUACCCUGCGCCGGACUGAGGUACGCGCUCCGCAAGGAUGCUGGCGUAAUGGUCAUCAGCGACCCGUCUUGAAACACGGACA
rnacentral:rRNA from 2 species